UUGGUUUGUUUCAGGUGGUUGGCUGUUUGCUUGUGCUACAACUUCCACCCGGCUUACCUUUUCAGUUUUGUGUUAAGGCUUGUAUCACCUUAGCGCAUUGUGGGUUUCCUGUGUUGCAUACCUAAUAGAAGGUAUUAUUUUGCCUUAUGAAGUCCCCUUUCAUCUUGUGCUGCACAUGUGGCAUGNGAUGAACCUUGUAGCAGUCUCUUUGAUCCACANUGUUGANGUANAAGNGUUGAUGUUGUGGCUCAUUGGGUAUUGCUUGGUCUCAUGAAUAUGGAACCUGAUUUGGGCAUGUGGUCUCUAUAGGAUCAUUGUUUUGCCCUUGUUAAGAGUUAUGCUUCUNUAAAAUGACGACCUGUCAUGCAUUGGUUUCUACCAGUGUGAUGGGUUAUGUCAAAGAGGAAUGCUACCUGGUUGAUCCUGCCAGUAGUCAUAUGCUUGUCUCAA
rnacentral:misc_RNA from 1 species